CUCUCUCGCGAUUCUGGUUAUUGUUUUUGUUGCCUUUUCUGAUUAAUGGAAAAACAUCAGUGACCAUAUCUUCAGGUCAGAAUAUAUGAUGCAUAAUCAUGGUCUCAAGAAUUAGGGUUCCAUUUGCUAAUUCGUGUUCCUCUACCUCGCAUUUACUCCUCAAGGACUUGCUUGAAGUGAUGCUGUCUAUGGAUUCAGUUAUCUGCACAUUAUACUGGGAGAUUCCAGUGAAGUUGGUAUCCAAGCCCGUAUUAAGACGCAGAUUAGCUCCAACGCAUUCAUAUUUCUCAACCAUAGUUGAAUUCAAGAUCCGAAAAUGAGGUCCCAUGGGAUCAAUCUUAUAUUGUCUUCCUUAUCAAACAGGCCAUUAAGGUCUCAGACUUCACUGCGUCACAUUGAACAUCUUGUCUUGUUGGUGUGUGAUUCCCUUAUGCAAACAAAAAGGGGCAAAGUGGAUAACAAAAACGAAAUAGAGAAGCUCCUCUUUCCUAGCAUUUACCAGUGUUCUAAAAGACGGCCUAGGUGGUACCCCGCCGCUGCGCCUAGGGUCCUAGGCGGUUGUCUAGGCGCCGGCCCGAUUAAUCAAUCGCUAGGCGCUAGGCGGAUUAGGCGGGGCUAGGAGGAGCAAGGCAGACGAUUAGGCGGCUCGGCGGUGUAAUUUUUUAAAAUUAAGGACUAGGUGCUAGGUGGGCUAGGCGGACAAUUAGGCAUCUCGGAGGUGUAAUUUUUUAUUGGAGUGCCAUAUUUAAUGUUUUGUUUUACUUAUGUUGUUAUAUUUCCUCUCAAAACUUAGGGAGGGGGUAGGAGAAUAUUUUUAAAAAAAUAAAAAUAGAAAAUCCGCCUAAUGUCUAGGUGCCGAUUAAUCGGCCUAGGCGCUAGGCAGUGCCCGGCCACCCGACUGCCACCUAGCAACUUUUAGAACACUGGCAUUUACAGCCCUUUGGAUUGUGAGAAAGGGUGUGAUAAGAAAGGGCCAAGGAGAGCCAUUAAAUGGUGAGAUUUGGUGAGAAAAAGGAAAGAGUCAAUCAGCAUCCGUCCCAUAGUGCUGGUCAUGUAUUUCAUUUUGGGAUUGGGAUGUCCCAAAAUGUUUGUCCUCCUUAAAAAGUCAAACCAAUAAGUGUGUAAAUUGUACACAAACCAUCCCUCAUUAAUUAUUAAAGAUAGUUUUCGAUGAAUGAAUGGAAUAAGGGGUAAUAAUGGAAAUCUGAUCAAACUUUCUAGGGAGACGUGCAUUAAUUGCAUGUCCCCUUAAAAAGUUGGAUUCCCCAUACAUGACAAACAAUAUGGGACGGAGGGAGUAGUAUUUUUGUACUUCUCUCUUCAUUUCUCACCCAAUCACUCAAUUGGAUUGAGUGAUUUGGUGCAUAUCUUUUCUUUUCUCACCAAAUCACUCAAUCCAAAGGGGCUAAUUUGAUCACUUAGCUCCUAAUUGUGCAAAAUCUUAAACCAAGUUCAAACCACCUUCUACCACGUGCCAUGAGAAGUUCCUACUGGUCUUUAUUCACUAACUGUAGCAACACUUUCUGGCCACCUAAAUGAGUAAUCAUUAUUGUAGAUUCACAUCCCCUCCUCACGGCUGGUACUUAUACUCCCUCACUAUCCCUUUUGCUCAUUUGCUAUUCCAAGCUUCAUGAACGUUGACACCUCCAAUCACUUCACAUUUACAGGAUUUACUAGUAGUAGUACUUUGUCUCUUCCAUUCUCCCUGCAAGCACUUUGACGUAUGCCCACUCAUCUAAUUGCUUAAAGUUUGGUUUAAUAAGUUUUUCCCCUUUUCUUCUUAGCCCUUUCCUCCAUUACUAUUGUUCCAUUUGCAUAUUUUUGGUUCCUUCAAAACUAUCCAAUCAGGAAAGCUCUUUUACAUAUUUGUCAUUUCGCUUCUACCCAACUUUGAGACCACUCCUCUUUAACGAUGCUUGGAGUAUUUUUACACUUCCGCUUGGGGCGCUGAGCUGAUAAGUGAGUCAUGACUAGGGCCGCAAACGAGUGAGUCGAGCUUCACAAUGUUUAGGCUCUGCUCUGUGAAAAUUGGGUCAGCUUGAGCCGAGCUGAAAAUAUUAAGAUCGAGCUCGGCUCGGGAGAGCUCGGUAUCGCGUGGCCCUUGAGGCAGGAGGGAGAGAACGGUUUGGCUCUCUUCUUAUCUAACAUUCCUUGUGCUCAUUUUCCUCAAGUGGGUUAUGUGGGUGGGAUUGAAGAAAAGAGUUUUCCUUUGCGCAAUUUCGUUGUUCCACAUCGAAAGAGGAUGGGUUGGUAGGCAAAACGCUUACCUAAAAAAACUUGUAUGCCACCAGGUCAUCCAUCCCCAUGUGAGCUGUUCACAUGGAGCUGCCACUUGGCAGAUUUUUCAUUUUUCAUGCAAUUAUUUUAUUGCAAAUAUUAAAAUACAAAUAUAAAUAGUAAGUAUACAGCCUAGCUCGCGAGCUCAUUCGAGCUGAGCUUUUGGAAACUAGGGCUAGGCUCGUUUAUUAGACAAGUUCAAUAAUUUGGUUCGAGCUCGUUCAUUUUCCCUAAGCUAAGCUUAAAUGAGCCAAAAUCGAGCCGAGCUCCGCGCUGCGUGAGCAACUCAGUUCGUUUGCAGCCCUAGUCGUGACCUCUUAUUACUAGGAGUCUAGGACUAGAGAGGCUUGCUAUGAAUGAUGUCCUCGAGCAAACAAGACUACCACUUUGCAGCAUCAUUUUAGAUCAUUGGUCUAAUGUGAAGAUAGGUAGGAUGCUAUGUUACAUGGAUCCCCCAUUUUGGGGAAGUACCACAGAACAUGGGUGUGGGUGCGGAAUUUGCACCUGAUUCGACCAAAUAAAUCCG